GACGAACGCUGGCGGCGUGCUUAACACAUGCAAGUCGAGCGGUAAGGCCCUUUCGGGGGUACACGAGCGGCGAACGGGUGAGUAACACGUGGGCGACCUGCCCUUAGCUCUGGGAUAAGCCUGGGAAACUGGGUCUAAUACCGGAUAUGACUCCAUGACGCAUGUUGUGGGGUGGAAAGCCUUGUGCGGCUAGGGAUGGGCCCGCGGCCUAUCAGCUUGUUGGUGGGGUGAUGGCCACCAAGGCGACGACGGGUAGCCGGCCUGAGAGGGCGACCGGCCACACUGGGACUGAGACACGGCCCAGACUCCUACGGGAGGCAGCAGGUGGGGAAUCUUGCGCAAGUGGGCGAAAGCCUGACGCAGCGACGCCGCGUGAGGGAUGACGGCCU
rnacentral:rRNA from 1 species